rnacentral:rRNA from 1 species
UACGGGGGGGGCAAGCGUUGUUCGGAAUUACUGGGCGUAAAGGGCUGGUAGGCGGCCAACUAAGUCGGAUGUGAAAUCCCCAGGCUUAACCUGGGAACUGCAUCCGAUACUGGUCGGCUUGAAUCCGGGAGAGGGAUGCAGAAUUCCAGGUGUAGCGGUGAAAUGCGCAGAUAUCAGGAGGAACACCGGUGGCGAAGGCGGGUCUCUGGGCCGAUACUGACGCUGAGGAGCGAAAGCGUGGGGAGCGAACAGG